rnacentral:rRNA from 1 species
AGCGAACGCUGGCGGCAGGCCUAACACAUGCAAGUCGAACGAAGCCUUCGGGCUUAGUGGCGGACGGGUGAGUAACACGUGGGAACGUACCUUUUGGUUCGGAACAACUCAGGGAAACUUGAGCUAAUACCGGAUGAGCCCUUAGGGGGAAAGAUUUAUCGCCGAAAGAGCGGCCCGCGUUAGAUUAGCUAGUUGGUGAGGUAAAGGCUCACAAAGGCAACGAUCUAUAGCUGGUCUGAGAGGAUGAUCAGCCACACUGGGACUGAGAAACGGCCCAGCCUCCAACGGGAGGCAGCAGUGGGGAAUCUUGCGCAAUGGGCGAAAGCCUGACGCAGCCAUGCCGCGUGAAUGAUGAAGGUCUUAGGAUUGUAAAAUUCUUUUACCAGGGACGAUAAUGACGGUACCUGGAGAAAAAGCCCCGGCUAACUUCGUGCCAGCCGCCGCCGUAAAAC